AUAUUUUAAGAAUGCUUCAGAAUAUCGAUAUUUCUAAUGCACGUUCAAGAUGGCUGCCGAAGCUAAAGCAUUAUUAGAUGAAUUGAUGGGCAGGACGAGGAAUUUGGAUCCUUCACAACAGCCAGAGGAUUUGUCUUGGAAUAGCAGUGAUGUUUGUAAGUACUUUCUAUGUGGAUUUUGCCCCCAUGAGCUCUUCACCAAUACACGUGCUGAUCUUGGUCCUUGUACUAAAAUUCAUGAUGAAGCACUCAGAAAAGAAUAUCAAAACAGUCCAAGGUUUGAAAAAUGUGGCUAUGAAGAUGACUUCAUCCGUUUUCUACAAAAUUUGAUUACUGAUGUGGAAAAACGUAUUAGACGUGGUCAUCAAAGGCUGGCUUUAAAUAGUCAGCAAGGAAGUUUGAAUGGCAGUGUCAGCAAUCAAAAUGAGGAAAAAAUCACUUUACUAACUGAACGGAUCAAUGACCUUGUUGAACAAGCUGAGGAAUUGGGGUGUGAAGGAAAAGUAGAAGAGGCUCAAGGGGUCAUGAAACUAGCAGAUCAGUUGAAAGAAGAAAGACGCCAACUUGAAACUCCUGCCCAAGAAGAUGUUCCCAUGAUGAAACAGAUGGAAGUGUGUGAAGUGUGUGGUGCAUUUUUAAUUGUUGGAGAUGCCCCUCAGAGGCAGGAUGAGCAUCUGAUGGGCAAACAGCAUGCUGGCUAUGCUCAAGUCAGGGCGGAAGUAGAAAAACGAAAGCAAAAGGCAAGAGCUGAACUAGAAGCUCGAGAGGCAACCGAGGCAAAGUUAAAGCAAGAAAGAGAAGAAAGAGAAAAAGAAAGGCAAAGAGAGAGAGAAGAGAGGAGACUAAAAGAACGGGAGCGUGAGAAAGAAAGAGAAAGGGAGAGAGAGAGAAGACGGCGUAGUAGGUCCAGGAGUCGAGACAGACGAAGAUCUCGCAGUCGUGAUCGGAGGAGGAGGCGAAGCUCAAGUCGUAAUAGAAGGAGAAGUAUGAGAAGUAGGAGCAGAGAAAGGCGCAGACGUAGCAGAAGUUCAAGUAGAAAUCGUAAGUCAUCUAGACGAUCCUCGAGCCGUGACAGAAGAUCUGGGUAUAGAAGAUCACGUGAGCGGCAGUCUAGAAGCAGGGAGAGAUCUCGGUCGAGAGACAGAAAAACUAGAAGAGAUGAGCGAGAAAGUAAAAGCAGUAGCUCGUCAGAUAAAAAAAGAGAAGAAAGAGAGAGGAAAUCCUCUGAGAGUCACCAGAAAGAAGACAAGACCUCUACCAUUGUUGAAGAGAAAAACAUUGAUGACCACAAAAGUCUAGGUAAUGGCCAGUCAGAAGCUGUAGACGAGAAUGCAGAGUUCAUUGAGAAUACUCCACAAGAGUCAACUAAAGUUACAGAGAGUGGAGACAUGAAGGAGAGCCUUUACAAAUUAGAGGAAGGAGCCAUAACUAGUGAAGGUGACACUAAAAUCGAUGAAUGAACUAAUGCCAUUUUGAUCUCAGCGAUGAUACAAAUUUGGUGAAGUUACUGAUUGUUGAGCCGAUGCCAACCUAAGGAUUGCCAGCAAGGGAACAGCAAUCAAUUGACAUAUAGCAUCGUUUCACACUUAAAUUGUUCAGGCUGAUACUUGCUCUGUUUGAUGGUCUCAAAUCAAGGGCAGCUGUUUUGGUUAGAUCCACUAGAAGAAUGGGACAUCUUUUUACUUGACUUCAAAGCCAAUGUAAUAAUUGUGACUUCUUUUUUUUUUUGUUUUCUGUGUGUUAUGAUUAGUUUUCACUUCAUAAAGAUAAUGGCAUAGAAAAAAGGUUUCAAUUAUGAGCUUAUCACUCAUUGAAAAAUAUUAGAAUGCCAAACUUGCGUGUGUUUGUAACUUGUACAGACUAAGGAUAAGAUUUUAAAACUAAUUUAAAAAAAAACAUUCCUUUUUAAAAUCAUUGUUUUAUAUUUUCUUACAAUGCAAUGAAUAACAGAUCUUUUUGUGAACUUUUAUUUUUAACGUAGUUAAAGGGAUAUUGGUCGAGAGAUUGUUGUUUCCUGGAAUAAUUUAUUGUUGAUAAAAUAGUUUCCUAUUCAAGCCAAAUGUAUUAUGAGGUUGCUAAUAAGUUCAAGCUGGCAAGUCUAUCAUAUUACUUGUAAGCGUGUGCACAAUUUAGUGGUUAUAAUUUUUAUAAUAAACUUCAUUGAUCCUCUCAAAAGUUUGGUUGGUGAUGUUUUUAAUUUAUCACAACUAUCAAAGUGUGUUGAAAUAUUUAAAUUAUAGUUCAUUAAAAGGUUAAAAUAGAUUUGAUUGAGCUCUAUACUAUUGAGUAUUCCAAUAAUGUAAGAAAUUAGCAAGAGGAGAUAAAAUAUUUUUUUCCUUUUAAAUCUGCAUGGGUUUUGGUGGUAGAGAUGCUAAAUAGCUUGCGGCUGAAUCACAGAAUGCUGUGGUGGAUAACAGAAUUAUACCGAACCAUACAAACAACCUUAUUUAAUAAAUAAUUUUGUUUCCUUAAAUACUGGGUAUAUAAACACACAAGGUAAAAAAUAUUUGUAUGAAUAUUUUUAUUAAUGAAUGUUACAUUGGAUUCUUCAAAUAAAACUAAAAAAUUGA